GACGAACGCUGGCGGCGUGCUUAACACAUGCAAGUCGAACGGAAAGGCCCUGCUUUUGUGGGGUGCUCGAGUGGCGAACGGGUGAGUAACACGUGAGUAACCUGCCCUUGACUUUGGGAUAACUUCAGGAAACUGGGGCUAAUACCGGAUAGGAGCUCCUGCUGCAUGGUGGGGGUUGGAAAGUUUCGGCGGUUGGGGAUGGACUCGCGGCUUAUCAGCUUGUUGGUGGAGUAGUGGCUUACCAAGGCUUUGACGGGUAGCCGGCCUGAGAGGGUGACCGGCCACAUUGGGACUGAGAUACGGCCCAGACUCCUACGGGAGGCAGCAGUGGGGAAUAUUGCACAAUA
rnacentral:rRNA from 1 species